ensembl:lncRNA
CUCUACUGCAACCCGCCUCACCCAAUGUGCUACGGAUCUGCUAUUUUUUACACAACAUAGCAAUUAAACACUAGAAUGGUAUAAUGUGCAGGAGAUGAAUAUGCAAGUAGAGAUACUGGGGUGCAAAGGAGCAAGAUACUGUGUGGUGGUGAGCCAGACGACGGCUCCGAUGCUCGGUCUUUCUGUGAUGAACACCACAUUCAUUGAGAAUGUGACAGACACAACCACAUUCAGUGAGACCCCUACAGUCAGUGAGACCCCUACAGUCAGUGAGACCCCUACAUUCAAUGAGGAAGUGACAGCAUCCCCCCAUAUGAUCCUCAGCACCACGUCCCCAGGCUGCUCUGCCCUCUGUGAGGCCUGUGUCCCAGGGUCCUACUCCGACAAAGACACCCUCCUGUGUUCCUGCUGCCGUGAGCCAGGGUUGUGUCUGUUCACUGAGGCUUGCCUCCCAUGUUCCAGAGGGUUCUUUCAGAGUCUGGCUGGACAACAGCGAUGUCUGCCCUGCAGCCAGGGUUUUUACACCAAUUUCACCGGCAGCACUGUGUGUCAGUCCUGCCCCGCAGGCUCCUACAGCAACAACACAGGCUCCGACUCCUGCCAAAGUUGUUCUCCAGGUUUCUAUAUGUCUCAACAAAAUGCCACAUUGUGCAGUCCAUGUCAACGAGGAACAUUCUGCAACUCCUCCAGUUGUGCUCUGUGCCAGAUCUGUCCUGCUGGUACAGAGUCCCUCCAGGCUGCUGCCAAGGAGUGCACACCUUGUCGUCCAGGCCUGCACAAGGCUCCCCGUCAGAGUAUGUGUCAAAUCUGCAGCAGCGGCUUCUUCCAGAUCCACUGGGGCCAGGAGACCUGUAACCUCUGCCCCGAAAACCACUACUGCCCAAGUCCAGACGUGAACCCCAUCCGGUGCCCUGGCGUUGCCUUCUGUCCUGAAGGCAGCACUGCUCCAGGUUACUGCAUGGAGACCUUCUUCCGCAAGGCAGGGGAGAACUGCGAGCUGGCCCCUAUCACCAUUGCUCUACUUGUCAUUGGAGGAGGGGUGGCCCUACUCUUUGUCAUCCUACUGGUGUUGUGUCGAAUGCGAGACACAGGUGGAGAGCUUUCCCUCGCGCGACAAUUUCUGUUAACCAAAGAGAGGCCGCAAGGUGUAUACUACGGGAUCCCAUGUGACGCCGAGCCAGUAUAUGCUGGUUGGUGAACAUGUCCCCACCCUCAUCUGAUACUUCCUAUUAUUGGGGUGAAAUGUCUGGCUUUUAGAGCAGAAUCAAGGGAAGUCUAUGUGCCUCAGUUGUGGACUAAUGGACCAUAAGAGAAAGCAGACACCAAAUCCUAGCCAUGGUUUACCGAAUGUCCAUUUGAGUACUUUUGAUAACUCACCAGCUUUCCUGUGAUUUAUAUCUUCUAGAUGUAUUUUUAACAAGCAUAAGUGUUUUUCAUCUGUAUUCUGUGCUUUAGUGAAUGUGGAUCCCGUUACAUUUGUUAAAAAUAAGAAAAAAUGUCAUCAAUUGAAUUUACCUUUGCAUUCCUUUAGAUUAAUUAGGUAAAUGGUUUAAAGAGGCACACACUGGAUGGUUUAGGAGGGUUGAAAAUGGAGCUUGCGGGCCUCUAAGGACUUGGUGGAGACCUUGUGUUAUGAAAAUCACUUUUGUUGAUGUUUGUAAAUGCAUUCAGUCAUGGUACAUCGAUGGGUGUUUAACUUAUGCUUUGAAGAUUGUUUUAAGUAAAUGUUCCCCUCUGUCACAGAAAUAAUCUAUUUGCUGGUUAUACAUAUGAAUCAUUUUGGUGAUCUGAGGUACUAUGUGUUAUUUUAUUUUCUGUUUGAACGGCAUCACAUCUAUGUUCAUCAAUAGAAAUGUUUUUGACCAAUGCUAUUUAAAAGAAAAUUAUAUUUGUAAGUUUUAGAGAAAAGUACUGACUCUGACUGGAAUAAAGCAUAGCCAUGCACUACUCUCAAGUGAAAUUCUGUUAUGAUAUAAUUACUAGCGUAUAAAACAGGAUACAGACUGAAGUUAUAUCUUUCCCGACUUCAAUGAUCUUUUAAAAAUUGGUGGUGUCAUCAGCCAAUUGUAAAAUUUGAUCUCUUUAUCUUGUAUCAGAAUAGCCCUAAAGCGAUCCUUAUUGAUGUGAAGUGCCAUUACUUGUGUGACCAAUAAAAAUAAGAAAGGAGAAAUUGGGAAUCCUUGUUUAAUUAUGCGUCUAAUAUGUAUUCUCUGUGAGGUUCCAUGGGAUAAUUGAACAGAGCUAUUACAGAGCUAUUAUACUUUGAAAAUAUUGACCAAAACCAAAUAAUUGUGUUUAACCGUAUCAAAAGAAAGUCUACAAAUAAAAUAAAGCUAUCUUCUAAUAAUGUGCUCACUGUAGUCUAUCAAGUCCAAUACUAGUCGGAUAUUAUUACAUGUCUGCCCUUCAUAAAACCAAACUGGGUCCUCUGGGUGUAAACUCUGUGGAUUUGUUAAGUAGAAGUGCUCUUGAGUAGAAUGG